rnacentral:lncRNA from 1 species
UUUGUGGCUCUUCACUAAUACUUUAAAUUUUGCAUAUCACUGGCAACUGUACUCCAAUCUACAGGUUUGAACCAACCCUAACCCUUCUAGGGUGCCUUUUUUGAUAUAAAAAUUAAGUGUGAUUUUGUUGUCAGUUUUAUCACAGAAUCAUAAAAUGGUUUGGAGUGGAAGAGUCCUUAAAGAUCAGUUAGUCCUAAUUCCUCUGCCAUGGCCAGGGACACUCCACUAGACCAGGUUGCUCAAAGCCUCAUCCAAACUGGCCUAGAACAUUUUCAAGAAUGGGGCAUCCACAACUUUCCUGGGCAUCCUGUACUUCAACAUCACACCUACCAUAACUACAGCUGAGUGGCUUAGAACAUUAGAAUGUUUGUAACCCAUGUUAUUUUUAAGCAAAAACUCUGUUACAGAGCCCUCUAUUGUUGCAGAGCCCUCUAUGUUCUCAAGUCUGAUUUCCUCAAAUACACAAAUGAAAAGGUGAACUUGGCAUUUCCAGCUCCUGCAGCCUCAAUUUAGGAAACCAGUAAACAUACACAAAAACUUUCUUUUUAUGUGUAGGGCCAAAAAGGAUUACCUGGGGUAACAGGAGACAGAGGGCCACGUGGACCCAAAGGCAUACUUGGGAGAGGAGAAAAGGGUGAAAAAGGCCUUCCUGGGUUCCCUGGAUUGCGGGUAAGAAAGUUACACAAUAAAUUAUAUCACAAAUUCACUAUUAUUGUGCAGCUUAAGUUUGCAAUUUCAAAAAAGACUUUAAGGAUUUUUUUUAAACUAAUCUGUCAUGCUUCCUGUAUAGAAUAUUUAGGAGACUUCCCCUGUGACUUACCCUGUCUCAGACUUAAACAUAAGCUCACACAAACUUUCCUUGGAAAGAAAGUAAAUCUGUAGGGUUAUCCUCUAAAUAUUUAGACCAGCACAAAGCUGCUCUGGAAUAGCACAGUAUUAACUCAGUAAGUUUAACGUUCUCCAUACAUGCUGAUGGCAGUUUUUUACAGCAGCUUUACUUGUGCUUGAUUUGCCUAAUGGUGUUGAAGUGGAGCAGCAUUCCACUACUCUGCUUGAUGCAAUAUGGGGAAAAAAAAUUAAGUGCAAACUGGACUGGCAUGCUUUGGUCUAUAGCUCUAAUUCUUGUCCAUUUCU